rnacentral:misc_RNA from 1 species
CUUGGUCAUUUAGAGGAAGUAAAAGUCGUAACAAGGUCUCCGUUGGUGAACCAGCGGAGGGAUCAUUACCGAGUUUACAACUCCCAAACCCCUGUGAACAUACCUUAAUGUUGCCUCGGCGGAUCAGCCCGCGCCCCGUAAAACGGGACGGCCCGCCAGAGGACCCAAACUCUAAUGUUUCUUAUUGUAACUUCUGAGUAAAACAAACAAAUAAAUCAAAACUUUCAACAACGGAUCUCUUGGUUCUGGCAUCGAUGAAGAACACAGCAAAAUGCGAUAAGUAAUGUGAAUUGCAGAAUUCAGUGAAUCAUCGAAUCUUUGAACGCACAUUGCGCCCGCUGGUAUUCCGGCGGGCAUGCCUGUUCGAGCGUCAUUUCAACCCUCAAGCCCCCGGGUUUGGUGUUGGGGAUCGGCUCUGCCCUUCUGGGCGGUGCUGCCCCCGAAAUACAUUGGCGGUCUCGCUGCAGCCUCCAUUGCGUAGUAGCUAACACCUCGCAACUGGAACGCGGCGCGGCCAUGCCGUAAAACCCCAACUUCUGAAUGUUGACCUCGGAUCAGGUAGGAAUACCCGCUGAACUUAAGCAUAUCAAUAAGCGGAGGA